rnacentral:rRNA from 1 species
AGUGAACGCUGGCGGUAGGCCUAACACAUGCAAGUCGAACGGCAGCACAGUAAGAGCUUGCUCUUACGGGUGGCGAGUGGCGGACGGGUGAGGAAUACAUCGGAAUCUACUUUUUCGUGGGGGAUAACGUAGGGAAACUUACGCUAAUACCGCAUACGACCUACGGGUGAAAGCAGGGGAUCUUCGGACCUUGCGCGAUUGAAUGAGCCGAUGUCGGAUUAGCUAGUUGGCGGGGUAAAGGCCCACCAAGGCGACGAUCCGUAGCUGGUCUGAGAGGAUGAUCAGCCACACUGGAACUGAGACACGGUCCAGACUCAUACGGGAGGCAGCAGUUGGGAAUAUUGGACAAUGGGCGCAAGCCUGAUCCAGCCAUACCGCGUGGGUGAAGAAGGCCUUCGGGUUGUAAAGCCCUUUUGUUGGGAAAGAAAAGCAGCAGGUUAAUACCCCGCUGUUCUGACGGUACCCAAAGAAUAAGCACCGGCGAACUUCGU